UGCUGAUGUCAUCCCAGCUAAAUCUCCCAGACAGAAGAGAGAAGACAACAGCCUCGACAGACAGAGAUCAGCCAAUACUUUCCAAAGUUCAAGGCCUGAGCCUCGGAGACACAAAUCGGCUGCCAACAGCAAAGAAACCAAAGUACAAGACCUCAGGAAAGGAUCAGAUUAUCAACCCUCACACUCUAGAGAGGAGAAUCACUUAAGGACAUCGCCCCCCUAAACAGAAGGAAUUGCCAACAGAGCAUGCACAACCUCACCCUACUGUACACUCCAAAUCUCAGCCUGGUCAACCUGGCCUUGCAUCUGAUGCCCGUAGGCGCCGCAGGGCAGCUAAGGAGGUUAAGAGUAACUCCCCAGGAUGUGACAGGGCACAAGGGCACAACAAUGACCAGAGGUCACCCAGAGUAAAGGAAGGAUGGACAUCUAACUAUUCUUCCACAGGAUUCCAACCCAGUGUCAAGGAGGGAGGGCCAUCCAAGUCUUCCAGCACAGGACCCCAGAACAGUUUGUCAACAAUGAGUAAAGUAUCAGUCUUUGCUGUCCAGAACUGGAAGAAGACAAACUCCAACCAGGUCAGCCUUCGUGUUGGCAUGAAGAUCAAGCAGAUCAGAGCAGCUGAUGUUGAUGGCAUGGCCUAUGGCUACACGAAGAACAAACUCGGGAUGAGGAUCCACGGCUCUUACCCUGCUGGUCUGGUCUCCUUGUGUGUACCAGCCAACGAGUCUCACCCUAACCAAUAAACCACGCCCUGAUUAUGAGUAUGGAACAUGGACCUGUUUUCAUAUGGUUUAAACCUUUGAUAUAAAAAUAGUAUAAAGGAGAAUGAGAACUGCAUAAAUAGAAUAUUUGUUCUUGUGGAGAUGCCAAUUUUGUGGCUUUCAAAUAAUUUCUCUCUUUUGUGUUGAAUGGAUAUAAUGAAUAUGUGAAUGGCUUAUUUCAUUCUAUUACACACCAAAUGUAUUAUAGGAUUGUGCAUUAUUUGUAUAGAAAACUAAAUUAUGUGUCUCCUGAGCCUACAACUGUGAAGGCUUUUGAAUGAAGAAUAUACUACAGUUUUGAAAAUCGUUGCUGAAAGGACAUAUUGUGGUUUUGAAACUAGUGGCAAAGAAGAAUAUAUAAUAGUGUGCAACUAGUGGCAAAGAAUAUAGUUUUGAUGAAAUAUAAAAUAACUAUUGUUUUGUACUCGUUGGUAGAUGACUUUGAUGCAGUCACUAUUUUCAUAUGUAUAUAACAUUUGUUCACAUCAUUUGUGAUUAUAUAUACAUUGUAAAAAUAUAUUUUUUCAAUUUCAUAUUUACCUGUGUUACAUUAAUAUAUAUUCAUAUGUUUGAAAAAUAUGAGUAAUGCGAGUCUAUGAUUCAGCAUUCAGUUCUACAUAAUGAUUUACAAUAUUUAACAAUUUGAACUUUUCUAUUUAAGCAAUGUGCAAUAAAAAACAUUGUGUUUAAUGUUUACCUAUGUGCCAAUUUACAACAUAAAAAUGAUAUACAAACAGUUCCGCAGUAUAUUCCAUUGUUGAAAUUAGGUUACGCUAUAUAUACAUUACGUGAUUUGUUAUGUAUCUGUCAUACAGACUAUACCUGCAGCACCCAUAUUUAGGUUACUGACAUCAUACAUUACCGUGCCAGGGUGUUCUACACAUGGCCAUACUGUCACCAGUUUGGUGUGUUAAGACUCUGUCUUGAAUA